GACGAACGCUGGCGGCGUGCUUAACACAUGCAAGUCGAACGGAAAGGCCCUGCUUUUGUGGGGUGCUCGAGUGGCGAACGGGUGAGUAACACGUGAGUAACCUGCCCUUGACUUUGGGAUAACUUCAGGAAACUGGGGCUAAUACCGGAUAGGAGCUCCUGCUGCAUGGUGGGGGUUGGAAAGUUUCGGCGGUUGGGGAUGGACUCGCGGCUUAUCAGCUUGUUGGUGGGGUAGUGGCUUACCAAGGCUUUGACGGGUAGCCGGCCUGAGAGGGUGACCGGCCACAUUGGGACUGAGAUACGGCCCAGACUCCUACGGGAGGCAGCGGUGGGGAAUAUUGCACAAUGGGCGGAAGCCUGAUGCAGCAACGCCGCGUGCGGGAUGACGGCCUUCGGGUUGUAAACCGCUUUCGCCUGUGACGAAGCGCGAGUGACGGUAAUGGGUAAAGAAGCACCGGCUAACUACGUG
rnacentral:rRNA from 1 species